rnacentral:rRNA from 1 species
GACGAACGCUGGCGGCGUGCUUAACACAUGCAAGUCGAGCGGUAAGGCCCUUUCGGGGGUACACGAGCGGCGAACGGGUGAGUAACACGUGGGUGACCUGCCCUCAGCUCUGGGAUAAGCCUGGGAAACCGGGUCUAAUACUGGAUAUGACUCCAUGACGCAUGUUGUGGGGUGGAAAGCCUUGUGCGGCUGAGGAUGGGCCCGCGGCCUAUCAGCUUGUUGGUGGGGUGAUGGCCUACCAAGGCGACGACGGGUAGCCGGCCUGAGAGGGCGACCGGCCACACUGGGACUGAGACACGGCCCAGACUCCUACGGGAGGCAGCAGUGGGGAGUCUUGCGCAAUGGGCGAAAGCCUGACGCAGCGACGCCGCGUGAGGGAUGGACGGCCU